GGGGUUGUAGCUCAAUGGUAGAGCGCUUGCCUCACAUGCAUGAGGUAGUGAGUUCAAUCCUCAGCACUACA
rnacentral:tRNA from 1 species